rnacentral:misc_RNA from 1 species
UUGUGGAGGAGGACGCCGAAGGUGGGGCUAAUGACUGGGGUGAAGUCGUAACAAGGUAGCCGUACCGGAAGGUGCGGCUGGAUCACCUCCUAACAGGGAGACAACAAAAUGUUUAAUAUUAUUAUUUUGUCACCUUAGGUCGAUCGGUAUCUUACAUUCUUAAUUUAUUAAGGAUUUCAUUUCCUAAGUUUUUUCUAGGUCACACCCAUUAUUUUUCCUGGGCCAUUAGCUCAGGUGGUUAGAGCGCACCCCUGAUAAGGGUGAGGUCCCUGGUUCAAGUCCAGGAUGGCCCAUAUCUCUAUGUUGGGGGUAUAGCUCAGUUGGUAGAGCGCCUGCUUUGCAAGCAGGAUGUCAGCGGUUCGAGUCCGCUUACCUCCACUGAUUACCACCUCUUACAUAAUCUGAUAAAGGAAAUGUUUUGAGUUGUGAUCAAAUUCUGAACGAUUCUAGCUUCCUAAUGAAAUCAUUAAGAUGCUGGACUCAUUGAAUUAAUUUCAUUGUUUUCAGAGAACCUUGACAACUGCAUAGAUUAUUUUUAAAGACAAUAAGCAUCUUUUAAUGAUGCAGAUUUAUUAUUUGUGCGAAUGCAUUAAAUAACAAUUCUAUUAAGCUGAUGCUUCAAUUAUUGAAGUUAUUGGUCAAGCUACAA